GACGAACGCUGGCGGCGUGCCUAAUACAUGCAAGUAGGACGCAGUUGCGAACGGGUGAGUAACGCGUCGGUAACUGCCUAUUAGAGGGGGAUAACUAUUGGAAACUAUAGCUAAUACCGCAUACUAGUAGAUGGACCUGCGUUGUAUUAGCUAGUAGGUAGGGGAAUGGCCUACCAAGGCAACGAUACAUAGCCGAUCUGAGAGGGGGAACGGCCACACUGGGACUGAGACACGGCCCAGACUCCUACGGGAGGCAGCAGUAGGGAAUCUUCGGCAAUGGGGGGAACCCUGACCGAGCAACGCCGCGUGAGUGAAGAAGGUUUUCGGAUCGUAAAGCUCUGUUGUUAAGGAAGCGGUACUUAACCAGAAAGGGACGGCUAACUACGUGCCAGCAGCCGCGGUAAUUC
rnacentral:rRNA from 1 species